UAUUUGAUGAUAAAAUAUUUUACGCAGGCAAGUUUUAAGGACGGUGGCUGACGCUUUCUAGGGGGUGGUUCCUAUGAACCCUAAACCAAUGAAAGGAUUGUCAGCACAUGAGCGCUUACCAAGCACUUGUGUUAAUAUUGGCAUUUGCGACGUUUAUCGUUGCUUUGCUAACCUUUAU
rnacentral:sRNA from 1 species